CGCACUUUCAACUAAUUCUUUUUUUUUGUAUUUGAAAGCAACUUUAAAGAUGUUGAGUGUUUUGCUAUACUUAGUGAAGACAUACAUGUUCACUUACGCUGAUUACUUCCUUAUUGCAGUAGAAUUAAUUGAAAAGAUUUAAUUGUUCAUUGGUUCCUCUCUUAAGAUGUUUGUGUAAUACACUUAAGAAAUUUGAGGAGAAAAAAUGUGCAAAUUAUUUAAGAGCGUGGUUCUUCAUAUCUUUUCUAUUUAAUUACAAUGAAACAUAUUUCAUAUUAUUACUAAGAUUUUGCAUUUUUGCAUUUCAGGUCUCAUGUCAGAAAGCAUUUUAAGCUGGAUAUUUGUUUAUUGUUCAGGAUCACUACUGAGAUAACGAUAAUUGAAUCCAAAACAAAUUGACCCCAAGACUGACAACAGAAAAUAUGCUGUAAAUCUGAAAACAGAGAAUCUGAAGAAGGAAUAGAUAUUGUUGACUGUAGAUUUUGCACCUCUUAUGACAACAUUUUUCAAAAUAUGUUUACAUUUUGAUCAUGUUUAAAUAGUGCAUUAAUUCUAUGAAAUAAAUCAUGACAAAUUUCA